CUUCACUCUCUCCUGGUGUAUCUCCCUAUCCACACGUGCAGACUACCAGCAGUUGUCAACCUCUCCUCGUCUCAGACGCUGCUUUCCUCGGGACAUCCUGCCACUAACAGCAUUCCUACAAAGACCAUCUCUGGGUUGAACAUACAGGUGCAUUUGACUACUGGUACUUUCACAAGGGUUAUCUUGAUCAUCCACAUCCAUCACCCCUUUAUUUAGUAUUGUUUGGAAGUGCUUUACCCACCCUCUUCACUGAUUUGGUCCACUACAGGCUGUCUUCUGUAUCUCCUCAUUACCUCCCUUGGUGGAUACAAAUGCUGCGAUUCUUCUUUUUUCUCCUGUGCGUGUCUCCUUGUGUCGUGACGAAGGAUACAGGAAGGUAAAACGUGUUGACUCUU